CAGCAUUUGGGGCUAAACACAGUAACGAUGUUGCAUUAGUACUGUUUAAACAUGAAAAAGACAGCCAGUCCAUACCGUGCUGACUCAUGCGUAUCUGGUGUUUUUCAGGGGGGACUGUAAUGAUACAAAUAGUGACUGAAAUUUUCUGCCUCUCUUUCACAAAGCACUUCUACCACAGACCCGUGACGAGGGGCCUUUAAGGGUCAACACAUCGCUGGCUAUGGAGUUACCAUUGACAAGCAUUAUACGACAGACAGACCGCAACGGUUGGAGUUAAAAAUCAUCAUUUGUGUUCUACUGAAGAAACAAAGUCGCCUACAUCUUGGAUGCCCUGGGGAUAUUUUUCUAAGCAGGUGAACCUCUGGUUAUGUGUUUACUAACAUAAUUCCUGUGAAUGGAAAUGAACAGGAUCUUGAAAGGCAGACUGAGACUGUUCAUUGUGAGGGAAAUGUCUACUGCCCAGCUGAGAAGUUCUGCUGCAAGACAGCGACUGGCCAGUGGGGGUGCUGCAGCGGGUUGGUGCUGUAAGGAAACAACUCCCAUGACCUCAGUGAACUUCUUAUCAAAGACUGUCAAAGUGAAAGAGACUUUCAAACUUUUGAGGGAAUAGAUUAAUCCAACAUCCAAACUUAAUUCAUGUGAAAUAAAUUUAAAUGGAUAGAAUUACAGCCAAAUUGAUUUGUUAUGUAAUCAAUGUCUGAAUGUGUUGUUUUAUGCCAGGAACACACUGAACGAUAUUAGCCCCAUUUUUCACCAACAGAUUUGUGAAAAUCGCCAACAAAUGCCAGAAAUCGGAGGAAAAUUAGUGCUUGUUCACAGUGACAAUCGUGUUUUGACUUGAAAUAACAUCAGUGAUGACCUACAGCCAAUUAGAGAGCAAAAUACAGUACAAAGGUUAGUUCUGGGGGAGGAGUCAUGGACCUGCAACAGAACAUCAGCAAGCAUAGCUUCUGCAAGCAACCAUUCUCUCCUUCAUGUUUUUCACUGCAAAUCAGUGCACAGACAACUUGGAUCACAAGCUUCUUAUGUGCAUCACUUUAAUAAGAAGAAAUCACUUCUAGUGCAAGAACUAGUGCAUGAUCUUAAGUUAUUUCCUGUAUCAAUUCUUGCGUGUGUUGUCAGCAAUUCUUCCUAUUGAAAUGCAGUGUUGGGGAAAGAUACAUCUAAAAGUACUGCAUUACAAUAGUGCGUUACUCCCUAAAAAAGUGACUAAUUGUGUUACUUAGUUAUUUUUAUUGAAAGUAAUGUGUUACAUUACAUUUGCGUUAUUUUUCUCACCUGGGCUGUGCUUGCUUGUUUGUUUUUUAAUAACAAAAAACCCAAAAGUUCUGUUUUUGGCAAACGUAAAGCCCCUUUCACACCAGAAAAGCAAAAGGAAAUGCAAAUUCACAGCUGUACAGUAGAGGGCGCAGCUCAAGCAAACUUUUCAAACAAAUGCAGGUUAACUUCAACUCUCUUACUUCAGAAAAAAAAAUGAAAUGUGAUGUUUAACUUAAAGGGUUAGUUCACCCAAAAAUGAAAAUCCUGUCAUUUAUUACUCACGCUCAUGCCAUUCCAGACCCGUAAGACCUUCAUUAAUCUUCGCAACGCAAAUUGAGAUAUUUUUGUUUAAAUCUGAUGGCUCCAUGAGGCCAUGAUGGCCGAUUUCAAAACACUGCUUCAGGAAGCUUCGGAGCAUAAUGAAUCAGCGUGUCGAAUCCGCAGUUCGGAGCGCCAAAGUCGCGUGAUUUCAGCAGUUUGGCGGUUUGACACGCGAUCCAAAUCAUGAUUCGACACGCUGAUUCAUUACGCUCUGAAUCUUCCUGAAGCAGUGUUUUGAAAUCGGCCAUCACUAUAUAAGUACACUUACUACCGAUUUCUCUCAACAUGUUAGUCAAUAAAUGGGAAAAAUCCAAGUUUACUAUGCAUCAUCUCAGAGCAACAGUAUAUAAAUGUUUCGAAAUAAAGCUUCAUGUAUUUAAAUCCAUACACAGUCAGCCUUAUUUCUCUGAAUAAGUUGUGCAGUGGUCAAGAUGCACUCAAAUCCACAAAUGUACCUAGUCUCUUAAUGAGUCAUGGGUGUGUUUUGGGCGUAACGUGCAAUAAACAAUCAAAGUGUCAUCUCCCAUUCCCUUUAAAAGCCAGAUGCACUUGCACCAUGGCGGAAUAUAGACACCCUCAACCUGACGAGUCAGUUUAAUACAUGUGUGUAUUGCCACGCUUGGUCAAAUAAUUAGCCAAUUUCAUUCGUCAUUACUGCAAAUAGGUCAUUCUGAUACAUGCAAUGACUAUCCAUUAUGGCAUGUAGGCAUUUUUAUAUUUAUGUACACAAUAAUAAUCUUUUACAUUGUAAUCCUUUUAUUUUUAAUAUUUGGCAUGUUUGUGAGCUGCGCAUCCCUGUGUGUGUAACAAGCAGAGUGUACGCGCAUUGUGUACCCGCCUAUAGGCACAUAUUACUAACGCACCCUUUAAAUAACAAAACAAUACUGCGCCAUUGACUUUAGACCAGGUUUUUGUUGGUCAAUAGCACAGUCGCUUCAGUUGCCUCAAAACAUGCCAACAAUGCGCCUGAACACACCUCAUUUUCAGACCAGCACGCCCAUGGGCGAACAGAUGUGCACGAUUGCGUUUGCUAUUUAAACAAUGUGGCGCUGGACGUGAAAAUGAUAACUAUGUUGAGCUGAAACUAGCAAAAAACACUUGCAUCGCGCCUGUUAAAAAAUACAAUAACCAUCAUGUUUACAAAGCUCACACAACGACUCUGCACAUAUGCUGCCUUCACGUGCUAUUAGAAAUUUGAUAAUUCCCACUUCUGAAGUCGUGAUUACGAGCUCAUCGCAUUCAAGCUUUAAAAUGGGAGCGCGUUCAUGUGUAUUAAUGAUAAUUCCGAUCCCAGAUAGCAACUUUGUGCCGGCCCAGGUCCAGCUCACAUCUGCCACGCGUGGAAUGAUGGCACUUGGGCAGACCGCUCCUCUUUGCCAGAUCUGAGCCACAAGCAGGCCAUAGCAAUGCCACAUGUCAGCCAAGAGCAAAGAAAUAAACCAGAACUGGACCUUAUCUGAGCCACAAAAUCUUUAUAUAUUAUUUAUAGAAUCAUCUUAGCAUUAACAAACCUGUUAACACACAAAAAUCACUGAAGGAAAGAAGAGAACAGCAAAAAGAGACAAACAGAAACACAAGAGCUACAACUGACUUCAGCCACAGCCUUAGAUGAAAUCAACUGAAGAUAAAAGAAGACAUUAAAUCUCUCCUGAUCUCAGCAGAGGAGGAUUAAACAACUCCACAAACAGCAUUACAGCUUCACAUAUUACUAACCAGAUUCACUUUAUUUCUUUUAUUGAUCUACAGAAGUUCUUAUUAACAGAAGUUUAACCCUCAUGUUUGUUUCAUCUGAAGUCACCAUAAUGGUGAUUGGUGUUUCCAUUAGUUGGGCUCUUAACUCCUAUAAUGUUUUUCUUCUCUGGCUGUUGUGAUAGUGUGUUUGUUAAACACAUUUGCAGUAGCAAAGAAUGCUGAAAUGAGAUCAGAUGAUGUUUUUAUAAUCAUUGUGAUACAACCUGUAUCACUGAUGUCAUUUGAAUGUAAUAAUUGUGUUGUGCCAUUAAAGGGUUCACUGCAAAAUGAAAAUUCUGUUAUUAAUUGUUUUAUUAUGAAAUUUCAAUGAUGGUUGGUUCUGUUUCUUUACUAGAUCUCAACAAUAGUUAGUUUUAUUGCUUUACAAAAUCUCAAUGGUUGAUGUUUUUCUUCUGCUUCGAGAUUUCGGGUCGGUUGGUUUUGUUCCUUUAUGAGAUUUUAGUGAGAGUCGAAUCUGUUUUGUUCCGUAAUGAGAUUUCAAUGACGGUUGAAUGUGAAACAGUUAAAACUGUCAGUUUUGUUUAAUUACAAGAUUUCAAUGAUGGUUGGUUUUGUUCCUAUACAAGAUUUCAAAGACAGUUUGUUUCCACGAUGAGAUUUCAAAGAUGGUCAGUUUUGUUUCAUUAUGAGAUUUUGGUCGGUUUUGUUGGUUUGGAGAUUUCAUUGACGGUCGGUUUUGCUCUGUUACGAGAUUUUAAUAAUGGUUGGUUUUGUUCCUUUACGAGAUUUCAAAGACAGUCGAUUUGUUUCCAUUACAAGAUUUCAAUGAUGGCCUGCUUUGUUUCAUUGUAAGAUUUCAAUGACAGUUCAUUUUGUUCCUUUGUGAGAUUUAAAAGAUGAUCAGUUUUGUUUUGUUGAGAGAUUUCAAUGACGGUCAGUUUUGAGAUUUAAUUGACAGUCGGUUUUAUUUGAUUACAAGAUCUCGACGACGGUCAGUUUUGCCCAGUUAUGAGAUCUUAAUGUUGGUCGGUUAUGUUUGAUUCCGAGAUGUCGGUCAGUUUUUUUUAGUGCGCCUGCCUCCCAUGCUGGUGAUCCACAUUUGAGUCAAAGCAGGGCGGUUAGUACCGGGUGGGGUUAUAUUAGUACCAUGACCUGGAUGGGAGUGAGGUUUAAGGGGGUGAGUUAGACUUUAGCCUCCUUGUUAGUGUAUCCGCUUUCUAUGCUGGCAACCUGGAUUCAAGUCCCACUCGGAGCAGGUGCAAGUAGAACCCAGAGGGUUUAUGCUUCCAACAGAGUAAAUGUUAAUCUCUGAACUUAUUUUUGUAAAAAGGGGUGUUGAAAAUUAAAUGUGAAUAUAUAUCUCCAUGAAAUUUUGUUUAGAUACUAAAUAUUUGACAAUCAAAUACACAUAUACACUUCUGGUGAUGUUUUAUUAUUAUUAGUAUUAUUAUUUAUCUAUUUAUUUAUUUUUAUUUUGUUUAUUUUUGUAAAAGGUGUUUUCAUGCAUGUUUGGCCAGAGUUUUUGUUGCAUUUACACUGUUCUGACCAGCAGGGGUCACCAGCGUGUUGUGUUUCAAAUGCUUCAAAACAGUGAAUCAUUUUGCAAAGCAAUUGGUUCAAUUGUUUUGAAGCUUUGAAAAGCUUUGUUUCUCCCAUCACAAGUGUAAUGUAUUUAUAAAAAUAAAAAA